rnacentral:lncRNA from 1 species
CUGCCCCACAGCCUGUGGGGACCGGGCUGUGGCACCGUGCAGGUGAGUAAAGACCGCGACAGGAAGACGGCGAUCCGGAGCUAGGCGCUCCCGGGGAAGGACGGCACGGAGGAGCGGAAGGACGGACGGACGGACGGAUGGAAAAGCCACACACACCGAACCACGGACACACUCCCGUCUUCACCCCGCUGCCAGGGACAGGACCCUGCCCCUAUGGGGCCGUGGGGCUGGGCUGUGGGGACGCCCCCCGCUGGGGACUGAGCCAAGCUGGGGACGCUGCCGCCGGGACCGACCGCUGCCGUGCUGUUCCCCUCCAGCUUUGAGCCACGCCAUCCCCUGAACUGAGGCCCGGGGUGCUGCAUUUGUUGAGUUUAAUCAAUACAUGCUGGUGUUUCAUGUCAUUGAUACGAUAAUAUAAAGCCUGAGCAGCUCGUAUAAUUAAAAAUGAGUACGGUUCAGAGACGAGGCAGAAGCUUCCUUCCUUCCUUCCUUCCUUCCAGCCCAACGCAGCCCCCGU